rnacentral:lncRNA from 1 species
GAAUCAAGGGAUUGUAAUAUCUAUCGUUUAUGAAUGUAUCUCAAACACUAAAUGUAAAAGGGGCUCCGCUAUAAAUAGAGAAUCCCCCACUCUCAUGUACACACAGACCGGAACUAUUGAAUAAUAACAUCCUUACUCUUGGCUUAAACUUUUAUGUUGUUCUUUUGUUAGCAUUUCUUCAAGCACUUCUUGUGUCUUUUCGUUUUGCAGCAUAUUAGGUGGCCAAACCCCACAAUCUAGAAUGUUGGUGCACCGCGGAAGAGUUCAUCCCUAUAUUUUGGAUCCAC